CAGUUGUAUAACUGGUCCUUUGACCUGAGAUGGCACUACUCUCACAGUGAGGCUGCUGGAGUUUGACUGACAUAUCAACAUUGAUCUCAAUGAGCCCUUGUAGUAGAUAUUGACGACAGUUGGUCCACUGUAGGAGUGAGAUAUGCAUCAAGAAGGGAUCUAUCGAUCCUAGCAUAAGGGAGUAGUCCUAUGAAAUUUAAGAGACUAAGUCCUUAAGUCUAUGACCA
rnacentral:lncRNA from 1 species